UUUGCGAUAGGAACAAGUAGGUGCGAAAGAAAUUCUUCUCUCCUUUUCCUGCUUUGACCCUCUCUCCUCUCUUCAUCCUCAUCCUCAUCCUCCUGCUGCCGGCCCUGCUCAACGACGUCCUGCCCCGACGCCCUCCUCCUGCACAUCCUCUCCCACGUCCCCAAGGUGUCCUCUCCCGCGUCCCCAGAUCGCCGCCGCCGCCGUCGGUCGGCUCAGAUUGACGCAGCCGCCUCCAUCCACAUGUACCUGAACAGAUCAAGACGCCCGCCCCGAAUUGGUCGCUGUAAAGAAGCUCGCGGCCGCGUCGCGUUUGCGGCGGCGCUAGGGCACGGGAGCGGCAACCGGCGACGGGUGGGGCAAGCAGAGAUCACGACGAUGGUGCUGACGAGAGGAAGGGGGAGGACAUGGGCUAAAGGCCCGCCCAGGAUUUAACAUCUCAGCAUGCAGGCAAACCCCUUCUCCUCCGUCAACAAUGCAGCAUCGAUGGAGACACUGAUAUGCAUUGUGUGUGAGGGUGGUUAAAUAAGAUCGUUGUCAUUGCGCUUCUUUGAACUGAAUACACUGAUAUGAUUAUGAUCUUUUUGACUCACCGGAUAAAAGACCUGCCUUGUGUGAUUUUAUCAUUUUCAAUUUGUUCUUACCAAUAAAAACUCGAUUAAUUUUAGGCCUACUUGUGGAGAUUACGAUGUGGCAUCGGUCGGGAGUAAGUUCUUCCUCUUGGAUGCUGGGCGUCGUCGCAUCGUCCGCCAAGUUGGUCGCUCAAUUUGUCAGCCCAUGUAGAGAAGCGUCCUGCCUUCCACGGCUCCACCUGUUUGCUGAAAUACCAUAUGGUUCUGGCACCCUGAAAUUCACCGGUGUGUGCAGGGAUUCUCACAGUAGAUGGAGGCGACCGUGGGCGUUUGGUAUCUGGUCAUUGAUUCAGACAUGGGAGUCGACUACCACUGCUGGAGGAUGACGGCUAGCUGACCUCUUCAAGUGUCUGAAGCAGGAAGAGGGGACAAUAUGGUGCCACCAUCGCCCCUGCCCCUAGGGAGAAGACCCUUGAUCAUCUACCUGAUGAUCCUCACAGACCGGAUCUGGUCGAGAUGGCCAGUUUCGGAAUGACUGGCAGUUGCACAAAAUGUUCUUGCUCAUACCUCAUAUCAAAAUCCAUGUCCCCUGCAGCUGCCUCUUUCACUUUCAAGCCGUUGUCAACAAGGCCAUAUGGACUUCCGUCUUUCACCAGGUUAGCACAACCUAACUUACAUUCAGCUAGCUUUAUGAAAGUUCACAUCAUGAUCUGUUACCUCACUCCUAUGAAAUUAAACUUCCUUUCGGCGCAUGCAACUCAUGCCUAAUUGCUUAUGACAGCUAGCUUAGUUCUUAAUGACUUAGUGGUAACUAUUGUAGUUUGGGCGUCCAGGUACUAUGUUGAGUGAAAGCGGAGAUAUUAUGUCUCAAGUUUGCACAAACUUAUCUCUUAAUAUAAUUAUCCAUCUUAUGAAAUUUUUGGGAAAUAUGCAAAAUAUGGUUUGGUGAUGGAAAUUUUACAGUGCCUCUGCUUUUGGUGCAUCAUUUUCUUUCCCCUUAAUGUAUAUGCACUACGGAGUAUAUCCAACAUGACCCAGCGAAAAAAAUCAAUCUGACACAUGUAACUUCUUUUUCUCAGCUAAUUUCAUCGCUGGAUAUUUGAAGUUUCUGGCCCAUGUUAAAUAGUAGCAUGUAGCAUUUUUGUUGUGCUUCAACCUUUGCAUCCACUAGAGAUUCCAGACCAUCAAUUGAGUUAAUAAAACAAAUCUAAUUAUUGACACUUGCCGCGUCCCAUCUUCAUCUUAUCAAGAAAAGACAUAUUAUAAAAGGAGUAUAUAAAAUUGGCUUUUGUGUAAGCUACUUAGAUCGUCACUGUAUAGCUUUUGCCCCUGGUAUUUUAUAGAGCUAGCAAGGAAAUGAUCUGCUCAGAAUGCUCAUUUGUAAGAUAUGUAUGUUUUAAACAUGAAAUGCAUCAUUAGAUUAACAUUGAUCAAAGCUAUAAGUCUUUUGAAUUUUGAUAAUGUCAAGUUUGAGCUAAGAUUGCAGUGGGCUUCCACGAAAUCAAUGGAAGGUGAAUUUCCCUGCUUCUCAUGAUAAGAGAUAAUUGGAUAUUUUACUAAGAAUUUGUAUUCUCUUAUUGGAUAUUUGAUGUCACUCUUUCUGUCAUACUAAAAACUGGCUAUGAUUAUGUUGUUGUUUUUCUGGCUGUUCUCAAAUCUGAACUGUGGGUUUUGUUCAAAAAUGAAAUGUUCAUUAAACUCCGAUUCAACAAAUAAUAAUAAGAAGUAUACGCGCAAGAGCUCUGUUGAUCAUGUGUAUAUAGAUUUACUCCGGUUUAGGUCAUGUUUCACUGCUUAUAAUAGAUAAUCAUGUGAAUAUUAUUUUGUCAGAUCUCUGAUUAUUUCUCCUCUUCAAGAAGCAAACAUGUGUUAUUUUCUAGACAUCGUGUAAACUAUAAUGGACGCAGGCCACCUAUAAUCUGUAUGGAGAGGUUUGCAUGCCACCUACUAUCCCUAUGGAGAGGUGGAGAGGUUUGCAUGCCACCUACUAUCCCUAUGGAGAGGUUUACCAGCACUUUCAGUCGGUUGUUGUUCAACUAUGCAUCCAGUUUGGACAAACUGGAUUUAAUUAGCGUCAUUUCGUUUUCUUUGCCUUUCCAGUUUAUAAUACAGAGAAAAGCAUUAUGAUCUUUUGUCAAUGUCUUAUUCAAUAUUCCAGGGGCAGUUCAUGUUGUAGACGAGGUCAACAACCGUUUUUCAUUCCGGAGAGCGAUACCGGUGCUUAGUGGCCAGAGUUAUAAUGGUUGCACGCCCUGCCUCUUCAGUCUUUUGAACUUUGCUCCCUGUAUUAUGUAUGUGUCUUUGUGGGUCUUUAACAUGGACUACCGUUGUGUGCAUGCUGGUGCACCCUGGAGUGCUUCUGCGUGAUGGUGAUGACUGUCGUUGGUGUGUUCACCAUUGUGUAUCUAUGGUGUGAAAAUGGAUCUGUCUCGCAAAUGUUGCUGAAGAUUUACUGUCAAAAUUCAUGCCUUCAUUGCAUGUUAUCAUGCUUGAUGUA